rfam:Nematostella vectensis strain CH2 x CH6 NEMVEscaffold_231_Cont19844, whole genome shotgun sequence.
GCCCGGUUACCUCAGAUGGUAGAGCAUCAGACUUUUAAUCUGAGGGUCAUGGGUUCGAGCCCCAUAUCGGGCG